AGGAUGAACGCUGGCGGCGUGCCUAACACAUGCAAGUCGAACGUCCUGUCUCGCAAGAGGCAGGGAGUGGCGGACGGGUGAGUACCACGUGGGUUAUCUACCGUGAGGUGAGGAAUACCGGCGAGAAAUCGCCGACAAGACCGCAUAGCCUCGGUGCAAGUCGAGGAAAGCUCUCUCGGGAGAGGGAGCGCCACACGAGGAGCCUGCGCCCGAUUAGCUAGCUGGUGGAGUAAUGGUUCACCAGGGCGACGAUCGGUAGCUGGUCUGAGAGGACGAUCAGCCACACUGGGAUUGAGAACGGCCCAGACUCCUACGGGGGGCAGCAGUGAGGAAUUUUCGUCAAUGGGGCAACCCUGAACGAGCAACGCCGCGUGCAGGAGAAGGUUUCGGAUCGUAAACUGCUUUUCUCGGGAAGAGAACGGACGGUACCCGAGGAAUCAGCCCGGCUAACUACGUGCCAGCAGCCGCGGUAA
rnacentral:rRNA from 1 species